rnacentral:misc_RNA from 1 species
GAUGAAGAACGCAGCGAAAUGCGAUAAGUAAUGUGAAUGGCAGAAUUCAGUGAAUCAUCGAAUCUUUGAACGCACCUUGCGCUCCUUUGUAUUCCGAGGAGCAUGCCUGUUUGAGUCUCAUGGAAUUCUCAAGCUUACAGUUUUGUUACUGCAAGGCUUGGACUUGGAGGUCGUGUCGGCUCUCGCGAGUCGACUCCUCUGAAAUGCAUUAGUGCGGACGUUACCGGUCGCUUCAGCGUGAUAAUUAUCUGCGCUGCCGUCGACUGGUAUGUGAAGUACGCGCUUCUAACCGUCCUUCACGGGACAAUACAUUGAAACUCUGAGCUCAAAUCAGGUAGGACUACCCGCUGAACUUAAGCAUAUCAAUAAGCGGAGGA